AGGAAAGCAGCCCUUCUUAAGACAGGAGUUCUGAGCCAAUCUGCCAAUGCCAGGAAAACAGCUUUCUCGGCACGGCAUUUUGGGUAUUUGGAGUGACAGAGCUGGCAUUGUUUGUAGAAGGUUAAGUAAGAUUAAUGAGGAAAGAAAGGAAAGCCAUGGAAGGAUCAGCAUUUCCGAUCAAUGAGAGAAUGCAUUCCACGUGGGCUCCACCUGCAUUUCCUUGGCGUGUGUGUCCUGAUGCCAAUUUGAAAGGGUUUGCCUUUUUAUGCUUGUGAGUAACCUACUAAGAAAGACCAGUGUGUUCUGGGUGUGUAGCAGUGCCCGAUUUAAGCCUUAUCCUGCAGCCAAUGUAUUGAUCAGGAGGAAUUUGUAGAAGACGGAGGCGUGUUUUAAUAAGAGCUGGAGAGCGGGCGCCAUCCUCCCUAUUCCCAGGACUUUAAAUUAUGAAUUGCAACUUCAGCAUCUUGUUCGGGAGAACAGAGAAGAGGGGGAACAAUUUCGCUAUGAUAGAGUAAUAGACACAAAAUGAGGAUGCUAAUAUCUACCAAGUGACCAAUCACGGAACCGGAGAGGUCCUCCAGACUGGCACUGAAGGAACUUUGGGAAAAAAGGCAGGUUUGCUUUUAGCUGUUCAGAGGUGAGUUUAAACCCCUGUAACUCCCAUUUUGUGUAGGGUAGGGUGGGGGUGGUCAUUGAUAUGAGGCCUUAGUCCAUUUUGUUUUAGAAGUCAGCCGAAUGCCAUGGGGCGGAUGUGCAGUCACCUGAAGAUUAGCCCAUGGUUGCUGCUUCCUAUUGGACAUUUGAAUAACAAGCUUGAUGAAGCCACUUAACUCCUUACAAUUACAGGUGCCAAAUGGUAGUACAUAAAGGGGGGGGGGGGGCUUUUUCAUGUGUGAGCAGUUUCACAAUCCAGUGUCAUAAUCAGAUUCCAGAAACUGAACUUGUGGAAAGUUUGUGCUAGCCUUGUGGAUUUUCAUUUCAGAUGUUGUCAACUCAAGGGCAUUUGGGCCAAUCAAUAUCUGCCUGUCUUCUCGCACAUAGAAAGUUGGCUAUUAGAAAAGAGAGGCUUACAGCAGGCUCAGCCAAUACCAUUAGCCCUAGCCUAAGGGCAGUUCUGUCCAUGUGCCCAGAUAGGCACCUGCCCCCUCCCCUCCCCCACCAUUAGAGAGGCCACUUGGGAUGUCAUUUGGACAGAGCGGGCAAAGAGCACUUCUUUCUUCUUUCUCUUUUUUUACACCCAGACUCCCCCAAAAUCAAUAAAUCUGUUCUUUGCUUAUUUUCAGAACUUUACUUCAAUAUAAGCAAGGACUUCCCUUCCAGCAACAAACUCCAGUAACACCAUGUCAGGCUUAUGUGUGUGUGUGUUUGCUUUUUCUGUUCCAAUUUGAAAAAUAAUUGGAAAUAAUAUCUGAUUGAUGUCCUCUCCCCUUUCUUUCUUUUUAGCUAAAGAUUUCCUAGAUGAAAGACCUUGAUCCGUCGCCUUUCAGGAUUCGGUACUUGAUUUUCUGUUCCAGGCGGUCUUUUCUGGUCCAAAUGGUUUUGUGAAAUGGAGGAAGUAAGGUAUUGUUUUCCUAAGCAGAGGGAACUUUGUGCAAAUUGGCAUGGUUGUCUGCUGCGCCUAUUGAGUGUUCCUGAUGUUUUCCCCGAGAUUGUGUUUUUCAGGGGAACAAGAAUAGCUCUCUGGCUCAGAGAAAAUCCCGGAGCACUUAAGAUACCAGAAAAAGAAGGAAGAAUGCAGAAUUGGUUAGUGAGAGUUCAGACCAUCUCCUGUGAAGAAUGAAGCAAAGUUGUAUUUCACACUUCAACAGUUGCACUCCAGCUGCCUCCCCGGUUGCCUGUGAACCUGUAGUUUGUGUCUUCAUACGGUGCCUGCCAGCCACUGUGACUUCCUGGCCAUGAUGGGCUGUAACUUGGAAGUGUGAGCUGACAUAAACCCUCUGGCCUCAGAGUCAUUCUGGUCAAGGUAUUUUCUCACAGUAACAAAGUGAAGGCAGAAGUUGGUGCCGAGAUUUGGGAUUAUUUCUACGAUGAACCUGUGUGGCUUUUAAGCCAUUGGGAUGUUUUGUAGGAGGGAUAUGGAACAGUUUUGUUCACUGGACAGAGAAGCAUUUAACUCCUGGAAACAGAGCUCACUGUGUCACUCAAAUGGAAGCUUGGAAGAAAAGACUGCCGAGAGACACGUGAACAGUGGAGGUCUGCCUCAUGAGGUUUCAGAGGCCAGUGAGGACUCUAGUCUGGGGGCCUUUUGUAUGGUAAUUUUGUCAAGAAUGUGCCAUCAUUCUGCACUCUUCCUGAGAACCAGAGAGAAGCUGAAUGGCGGGAUGAUGGACUGACUAGCAGGAUGAUAUCCAAAUUGAUGCUGAAGAAGCUGCUGUAAUUGAGAGAUCAGCACCACUGUGGAGAAUAUUCCCGAGACACUGUAGGAAAAUGGGAGACAUGUCCUGAGAGCAAAACCCCAUUCAUCAGAGGAUCAACACAUAUAUAUCAGAGGGCUCACAUUGGAUUUUUAAAAUGUUUGAUUUCUCAAAGAUUAUGGAUCAGUGCUGCUCUCAACUGUGGCUGCAGACAUUUCUUUCUGUAAUGGGCAGCGGUCAAUGAAUGGAGAACCUCAUAACUGAUCAGAAUGUCCAGAAUAAGUGUCUAUUGAGUGUUGGACACUAAAUAAGACAUUGGCAACCCCUACCUACCUCCAGUGUCGGGAAACACCACUGAAGUUGAGGUAAGAAGAAUGGAAGAGACAUAAGGCUGGGAGAAGUGCUGUGUAAUGCCAUCUUCUGAAUAUGGUAUGACCACGGCACUCAGAAGCUCACCACAGCUGUGGUUACCUGCAGAAGAUCAAGCCCAGAUAGGUAAACAUUUCAGAAGGUGGCACUGACUGAGCUCAGUGGUUUCCAAAAUAGAGAGGAUGUGAA